UACGAAGGGGGCUAGCGUUGCUCGGAUUGACUGGGCGUAAAGGGCGCGUAGGCGGUUCGUACAGUCAGACGUGAAAUUCCUGGGCUCAACCUGGGGGCUGCGUUUGAUACGUGCGGACUUGAGUGCGGAAGAGGGUCGUGGAAUUCCCAGUGUAGAGGUGAAAUUCGUAGAUAUCGGGAGGAACACCAGUGGCGAAGGCGGAGACCUGGGCCGAUACUGACGCUGAGGUGCGAAAGCGUGGGGAGCAAACAGG
rnacentral:rRNA from 1 species